AUUGAACGCUGGCGGCAGGCCUAAAACAUGCAAGUCGAACGAGUGGCGGACGGGUGAGUAAUGUCUGGGCAACUGCCUGAUGGAGGGGGCUAACUACUGGAAACGGUAGCUAAUACCGCAUACCAGCGGAUGUGCCCAGUGGGGAUUAGCUAGUAGGUUGGGUAAAGGCUCACCUAGGCGACGAUCCAUAGCUGGGCUGAGAUGAUGAACAGUCACACUGGAACUGAGACACGGUCCAGACUCCUACGGGCGGCAGCAGUGGGGAAUAUUGCACAAUGGGCGCAAGCCUGAUGCAGCCAUGCCGCGUGUAUGAAGAAGGCCUUCGGGUUGUAAAGUACUUUCAGCGGGGAGGCGUUACCCGCAGAAGAAGCACCGGCUAACUCCGUGCCAGCAGCCGCGGUAAUUC
rnacentral:rRNA from 1 species